rnacentral:lncRNA from 1 species
AGAUCAACAGUGGUCUGUAUGGAAUGACAGCACAGAGAUCAACAGUGGUCUGUAUGGACUGACUGCACAGAGAUCAACAGUGGUCUGUAUGGAAUGACAGCACAGGGACCCACUUCGGCCUGUAUGGACUGACAGCACAGAGAUACCGACGUCGGUCUGUACUGACUGACAGCACAGGACCCACUUCGGCCUGUAUGGACUGAUAGCACAGAGACGCCAACGUCAGUCUGUACCAACUGACAGCACAAAGACCCACAUUGAUGUGUAUGGACUGACAGCACAGAGACGCCAACGUCAGUCUGUAUGGACUGACAGCACAAAGACCCACAUCGGUGUGUAUGGACUGAGAGCACAGAGACAGCAACAUCAGUCUGUAUUGACUAACGUAACACCAUGGUAACACCAACAUCAGUCUGUAUGGACUGACAGCACAGAGACCCACAUCGGUGUGUAUGGAAUGACAGCACAGAGACAGCAACGUCAGUCUGUAUGGACUGACAUAACACCGUGGUAACACCGACAUCGGUCUGUAUGGAUUGACAGCACAGAGAUCAACAUUGCUCUGUAUGGACUGACAUAACAGCAUAACACCAACAUUGGAGUGUAUGGACUGACAGCACAGGGACCCACUUCAGUGUGUAUGGACUGACUGCACAGAGACCAACAUUGGUCUGUAUGGACUGAUAGCACAGAGAUCAACAUUGCUCUGUAUGGACUGACAUAACAGCAUAACACCAACAUUGGAGUGUAUGGACUGACAGCACAGAGAUCAACAGUGGUCUGUAUGGACUGACAGCACAGAACCCACAUCGGCCUGUAUGGACUGACUGCACAGAGACAGCAACAUCGGUUUAUAUAGACUGACUGCACAGAGACCCACAUCGGUGUGUACAGACUGAUAGCACAGAGACACCAACGUCAGUCUGUAUUGGUGUGUAUGGACUGACAGCACAGAGACCCACAUUGGUGUGUAUGGACUGACAGCACAGAGACCAACAUUGCUCUGUAUGGACUGACUGCACAGAGAUCAACAGUGGUCUGUAUGGACUGACAGCACAGAGACCCACUUCGGUGUGUAUGGACUGAUAGCACAGAGACACCAAUGUCAGUCUGUAUGGACUGACAGCACAGAGACCAACAUUGUUCUGUAUGGACUGACUGCACAGAGACCCACAUCGGUCUGUAUGGACUGAUGUAACAGCAUGAUAACACCAACAUUGGCCUGUAUGGACUGACAGCACAGAGACACCGAUGUCAGUCUGUAUGGACUGACAGCACAGAGACCAACAGUGGUCUGUAUGAACUGACAUAACAGCAUGAUAACACCAACAUUGGUCUGUAUGGACUGACAGCACAGGGACACCAACGUUGGUCUGUACCCACUGAUAGAACACCAUAAUAACACCAACAUCAGUGUGUAUGGACUGACAGCACAGAGACCAACAUUGGUCUGUAUGGACUGAUAGCACAGAGACCAACAGUGGUCUGUAUGGACUGACAUAACAGCAUAACACCAACAUUGGAGUGUAUGGACUGACUGCACAGGGACCCACUUCGGCCUGUAUGGACUGACAGCACAGAGACAGCAACGUCGGUCUGUAUGGACUGACAGCACAGAGAUCAACAGUGGUCUGUAUGGACUGACUGCACAGAGACCCACAUCGGUGUGUACAGACUGAUAGCACAGAGACACCAACGUCAGUCUGUAUUGGUGUGUAUGGACUGACAGCACAGAGACCAGCAUUGGUGUGUAUGGACUGACAUAACAGUGUGAUAACACCAAUGUCAGUCUGUACCCACUGAUAUAACAUCAUAAUAACACCAACAUCAGUGUGUAUGGACUGAUAUAACGCUGUGAUAACACCAAUGUCAGUCUGUGCCCAUUGAUAUAACACCAUAACACCAACAUCAGUGUGUAUGGACUGCUAUAAUGCUGUGAUAACACCAGUGUCAGUCUGUGCCCAUUGAUAUAACACCGUGAUAACACCAACAUCAGUGUGUAUGGACUGAUAUAACACCGUGAUACCACCAACGUCAGUCUGUAUGGACUGACAGCACAGAGACACCGACGUUGGUCUGUAAGGACUGACGUAACAGCAUGAAAGCACCAACAUCAGUCUGUUCUGACUGACAUAACACCACGAGGACACCAACAUCAGUCUGUUCUGACUGACACAACAGCAUGGCAGCACCAAUAUCGGCCUGUAUGGACUGUUGUAACAGUGUGAUGGCCCCAAUGUCAGCCUGUACUGCCUGAUAUAACACCACAAUAACACUGACAUCAGCCUGUACUGCCUGACAUAACACCACGACGACACCAAUGUCAGCCUGGUCCAACUGACACCCCAUGGCAGCACCAACAUCAGGCUGUACUGACUGACAUAACACCAUGGCAGCACCAGCAUCAGUCUGUUCCGAUGGACAUAACAGCAUGGCAGCACCAAUAUCAGCCUCUAUGGACUGUUGUAACACUGUGAUGGCCCCAAUGUCAGCCUGUUCUGACUGACAUAACACCGUGAUGACCCCAAUGUCAGUCUGUUCCGACUGACACCCCAUGGCAGCACCAACAUCAGGCUGUACUGACUGACAUAACACCAUGAGGACACCAACAUCAGUCUGUUCCGACUGACACAACAGCAUGGCAGCACCAAUAUCGGCCUGUAUGGACUGCUGUAACACUGUGAUGGCCCCAAUGUCAGCCUGUUCUGACUGACAUAACACCGUGAUGACCCCAAUGUCAGCCUGUUCCGACUGACAUAACACCAUGAGGACCCCAAUGUCAGCCUGGUCCAACUGACACCCCAUGGCAGCACCAACACCAGGCUGUACUGACUGACAUAACACCAUGAGGACAGCAGCAUCAGGCUGUAUUGACUGACAUAACAGCAUGGCAGCACCAAUAUCGGCCUGUAUGGACUGUUGUAACACUGUGAUGGCCCCAAUGUCAGCCUGUACUGCCUGAUAUAACACCACGAUAACACUGACAUCAGCCUGUACUGCCUGAUAUAACACCAUAGCACUGACAUCAGCCUGUACUGCCUGAUAUAACACUGUGAUAACACUGACAUCAGCCUGUACUGCCUGAUAUAACACCGUGAUAACACUGACAUCAGCCUGUACUGCCUGAUAUAACACCGUGAUAACACUGACAUCAGCCUGUACUGCCUGAUAUAACACCAUAACACUGACAUCAGCCUGUACUGCCUGAUAUAACACCACCAUAACACUGACAUCAGCCUGUACUGCCUGAUAUAACACCGUGAUAACACUGACAUCAGCCUGUACUGCCUGAUAUAACACCAUGAUAACACUGACAUCAGCCUGUACUGCCUGAUAUAACACCAUAACACUGACAUCAGCCUGUACUGCCUGAUAUAACACCAUGAUAACACUGACAUCAGCCUGUACUGCCUGAUAUAACACUG